UACGGGGGGGCAAGCGUUGUUCGGAAUUACUGGGCGUAAAGGGCUCGUAGGUGGCCAACUAAGUCAGACGUGAAAUCCCUCGGCUUAACCGGGGAACUGCGUCUGAUACUGGAUGGCUUGAGUUCGGGAGAGGGAUGCGGAAUUCCAGGUGUAGCGGUGAAAUGCGCAGAUAUCAGGAGGAACACCAAUGGCGAAGGCAGCACUCUGGGACGGUACUGACGCUGAGACGCGAAAGCGUGGGGAGCAAACAGG
rnacentral:rRNA from 1 species